UACGUAGGGGGCAAGCGUUGUCCGGAUUUAUUGGGCGUAAAGAGCGUGUAGGCGGUCAUGUAGGUCCGUUGUGAAAACCCGGGGCUCAACCCCGGGCCUGCAGCCGAUACGGGCAGACUAGAGUUCGGCAGGGGAGACUGGAAUUCCUGGUGUAGCGGUGAAAUGCGCAGAUAUCAGGAGGAACACCGGUGGCGAAGGCGGGUCUCUGGGCAGUAACUGACGCUGAGGAGCGAAAGCGUGGGGAGCGAACAGG
rnacentral:rRNA from 1 species